rnacentral:rRNA from 1 species
CCCCUCGGGGGCGGAUUAGUGGCGAACGGGUGAGUAACACGUGGGCAAUCUGCCCUCCACUUCGGGACAAGCCCUGGAAACGGGGUCUAAUACCGGAUACCCGUUCCCGCCCGCAUGGGCGGAAACGGAAAGCUCCGGCGGUGGAGGAUGAGCCCGCGGCCUAUCAGCUGGUUGGUGAGGUAACGGCUCACCAAGGCGACGACGGGUAGCCGGCCUGAGAGGGCGACCGGCCACACUGGGACUGAGACACGGCCCACACUCCUACGGGAGGCAGCAGUGGGGAAUAUUGCACAAUGGGCGCAAGCCUGAUGCAGCGACCCCGCGUGAGGGACGACGGCCUUCGGGUUGUAAACCUCUUUCAGCAGGGAAGAAGCGCAAGUGACGGUACCUGCAAAAGAAGCGCCGGCUAACUACGUGCCAGCAGCCGCGGUAAUACGUAGGGCGCGAGCGUUGUCCGGAAUUAUUGGGCGUAAAGAGCUCGUAGGCGGCCUGUCGCGUCGGUUGUGAAAGCCCGGGGCUCAACCCCGGGUCUGCAGUCGAUACGGGCAGGCUAGAGUUCGGUAGGGGAGAUCGGAAUUCCUGGUGUAGCGGUGAAAUGCACAUAUAUCA